rnacentral:rRNA from 1 species
GAUAAACGCUGGCGGCGUGCAUGAGACAUGCAAGUCGAACGGACGAUCGAGGCUUGCUUCGAUCGUUAGUGGCGGACGGCUGAGUAACGCGUAGGUGACCUGCCCCGAAGUGGGGAUAACUGCCCGAAAGGGUGGCUAAUACCGCAUGUGGUGGUGUGUUCAAUCACACCAGUAAAGCCGCAAGGCGCUUCGGGAGGGGCCUGCGUCCGAUUAGCUCGUUGGUGGGGUAACGGCUCACCAAGGCGACGAUCGGUAGGUGGUCUGGGAGGACGAUCACCCAGACUGGGACUGAGACACGGCCCAGACUCCUACGGGAGGCAGCAGUCGGGAAUUUUGCGCAAUGGACGAAAGUCUGACGCAGCAACGCCGCGUGAGGGAUGACGGCCUGGUGUAACUC